AUACAGACCCACGUCAUAUUGGGCCUAAACAGGCUAAAUAUAUGUAGUUCCAUGUAUUGAGGCUGAGCCCGUGAAGAAUGAUUACACUUCGUUCUGAGCUUGAGCUUGUCUCUACUGGAGAUGGAAGCCUACAGAUACAGCCGAGAGAGACGCAAUUUUUGUGCAGUUAAGAGAUAGAGACGAGAGAGGUAUACGAAGAAAAGCUAAGGAGCGGUAAUCUGUGCCACGACCCUACCAUAAACCCAGGUCUCGGCUCCCCAUGCUGCCUCGCUGUCCUCUUAAACCCUAACCGCGAAAGGGAAGAAUGGACCAUCACUCCCGUCUUGCACGAUGCUACUGCUGUGGUCAAUUUCUUCUCUUCUCGGUAUCGGUGCAAUGCUUGGUGCAGUUCAUGGUUUAAAUACGACUUCCUCUAUUGCUGCUAUUUUCUGGUGCCAGCGCUGGCAUUUGGAGAUAAGGUGUAGAUGGAAGAGUUUGGUUAAGACUAAGUGAUUAAGUUGAUAACUUUGGAUAGAACUAAGUGACUAAGAUGACAUUCUUCAUCUUAUGUUGGGAUUUAUAUUUUGGAUGAAUGUAAAAUAAUUUAAGUUUAUCUAAAGUUAUUUUGAUCUUUUGUAAA